AUUGAACGCUGGCGGCAGGCCUAACACAUGCAAGUCGAACGAGUGGCGGACGGGUGAGUAAUGUCUGGGAAACUGCCUGAUGGAGGGGGAACACCACUGGAAACGGUCUCUAAUACCGUAUACCAUCAGAUGUGCCCAGAUGGGAUUAGCUAGUUGGUGGGGUAACGGCUCAUCAAGGCCACGAUCCCUAGCUGGUCUGAGAGGAUGACCAGCCACACUGGAACUGAGACACGGUCCAGACUCCUACGGGAGGCAGCAGUGGGGAAUAUUGCACAAUGGGCGCAAGCCUGAUGCAGCCAUGCCGCGUGUAUGAAGAAGGCCUUAGGGUUGUAAAGUACUUUCAGCGGGGAGGCGUUACCCGCAGAAGAAGCACCGGCUAACUCCGUGCCAGCAGCCGCGGUAAUAC
rnacentral:rRNA from 1 species